rnacentral:tRNA from 1 species
GAGAGAGGCGCCAGAGCAACGAAGACCGCUAACCUUCGCAACCUCGGUUAAACCCCGGGGCUCACUCA